ACUCCUGCGGGAGGCAGCAGUGGGGAAUUUUGGACAAUGGGCGAAAGCCUGAUCCAGCAAUGCCGCGUGCAGGAUGAAGGCCUUCGGGUUGUAAACUGCUUUUGUACGGAACGAAAAAGCUCCUUCUAAUACAGGGGGCCCAUGACGGUACCGUAAGAAUAAGCACCGGCUAACUACGUGCCAGCAGCCGCGGUAAUACGUAGGGUGCGAGCGUUAAUCGGAAUUACUGGGCGUAAAGCGUGCGCAGGCGGUUAUGUAAGACAGAUGUGAAAUCCCCGGGCUCAACCUGGGAACUGCAUUUGUGACUGCAUGGCUAGAGUACGGUAGAGGGGGAUGGAAUUCCGCGGGUAGCAGUGAAAUGCGUAGAUAUGCGGAGGAACACCGAUGGCGAAGGCAAUCCCCUGGACCUGUACUGACGCUCAUGCACGAAAGCGUGGGGAGCAAACAGGAUUAGAUACCCUGGUAGUCCCAU
rnacentral:rRNA from 1 species